UACGUAGGGGGCAAGCGUUGUCCGGAUUUACUGGGCGUAAAGGGCGCGCAGGCGGUCAUUUUUGUCGAGUGUGAAAGCCCCGGGCUUAACCUGGGAACUGCGCUCGAAACGGGAUGACUAGAGAUCGGGAGAGGAGAGUGGAAUUCCCCAGUGUAGAGGUGAAAUUCGUAGAUAUUGGGAAGAACACCGGUGGCGAAGGCGGCUCUCUGGACCGAUACUGACGGCUGAGGCGCGAAAAGCGUGGGGAGCAAACAGGGAUUAAGAAACCC
rnacentral:rRNA from 1 species